UACGUAGGGGGCAAGCGUUGUCCGGAUUUAUUGGGCGUAAAGAGCGUGUAGGCGGCCAAGCAGGUCCGCUGUGAAAACUCGAGGCUCAACCUCGAGACGUCGGUGGAAACCGUUUGGCUAGAGUCCGGAAGAGGAGAGUGGAAUUCCCGGUGUAGCGGUGAAAUGCGCAGAUAUCAGGAAGAACACCCGUGGCGAAAGCGGCUCUCUGGGACGGUACUGACGCUGAGGCGCGAAAGCGUGGGGAGCGAACAGG
rnacentral:rRNA from 1 species